CCUUUCCAUUCGAGAUUUAUCCCUAUGUAAAAUCCCAUAAGGAUUUUUUUUAAUGCUGAUUACAUAAAAUUCAGAAGUUUAUAAGGGGUUUUAGCUUAUAAAUGGAAUAAUAUGGAUGAUGAUUUGAACUGCUGGGAAAUAAAAUGUUUAUAAACGAACAACAUAAGACAAUCAUUUAAUUUUUAGUCAAAGCUAGGUUAUAAUAAUUUAUCUGUUUACAUAGUUGUUCUGACUUUACUACUUAUCUACUACUCUAAUAUAUUAAUAUAUAAGCAUACUUUCAUUGCAAACCGGAUCUUUUUUUGUCGUCUUUAGUAGGAACCCCCCUAACUGUGUAGAAAUGGUUAUGUGUUUUGUGCCUGGGUGUAACCACCAUAGUGAGCAAAAAAUAUGUCGAUUUUUUAACAUUUCCUGCUAAUUCUACAGAGAAAAAUAAAUGGAUAAAAUUUAUAAGACGACAGGAUCGAAUGCCUUCAAAACACUCACUUGUAUGUAGUUGCCAUUUCAAAGACAAGAACAGGAAAAAUCUGCCAACUAUAUUUACGUUCAAUAUGACCAAAACACUGACCUUCCCAUCUCCAGAAAAAAGGAAAAUAACUGAAAUUCUUAAACCAGAACAAAGUGUUGUGUCGGAUCCUAUAACUCAUAGCUCAAGCAGUGCCUUACCUGAUCUUGAUAUUGAACUACAACAGCAAGAUCAAGUAGCAACAUCAGGACACCAAUUGCCUCAGGCGUCAACUUCGCGAUACUCAAGUGGGUUCUCAGGUGCUUCUCGGGAAGCCGAGAAUUAUUUCUUAAAGGAAGAAAUUAAGUCUUUAACAGAGCGACUUUAGAGAAAAUUUAACGACGCGUUUUUCUCAUGAACACAUUAAAGGAAGUGAUAAACAGAUUCUAAUGUAUACGGGAAUACCUACAAAUGAAUUGUUCAUGGUGAUAUUCGAUUUAAUGAAAUAAAUUCCAUUAAAUUAUUAUUCCAAA